UACGUAGGGUGCGAGCGUUACUCGGAAUUACUGGGCGUAAAGCGUGCGCAGGCGGUGAUGUAAGACAGGUGUGAAAUCCCCGGGCUUAGCCUGGGAACUGCAUUUGUGACUGCAUCGCUGGAGUGCGGCAGAGGGGGAUGGAAUUCCGCGUGUAGCAGUGAAAUGCGUAGAUAUGCGGAGGAACACCGAUGGCGAAGGCAAUCCCCUGGGCCUGCACUGACGCUCAUGCACGAAAGCGUGGGGAGCAAACAGG
rnacentral:rRNA from 1 species